ACUGAGAUCCCCGUUACUUUGUACAGAUCACAUUUUAAGACAUCAACGGAAGGAUUAAUUCCUCCUAAUCC
rfam:Vicugna pacos cont1.305996, whole genome shotgun sequence.